GACAUAGAUCCAUUCCUGGGUGAGGUAAGAACUAGGCCACUGGGAGGGGCUUCCUCCCCUGCUCAACCCCCACCUCCCCUGCCUCGUCCCUGCACUGCCCUGUGUGUAGGUCCGCAUUCUGAAACUCCCAUUCAGU
rfam:Tupaia chinensis contig23058, whole genome shotgun sequence.